AAUUUUUAUGGAGAGUUGGAUCCUGGCUCAGGAUGAACGCUGGCGGCGUGCCUAAUACAUGCAAGUCG
rnacentral:rRNA from 1 species